UUCAACUCUGAGAGAAGAGACGUUCCCAUCGAGACCCCUUCGCCAUACCGACCAUGUUGUGUGUCGUUCUGCUGGUGCUGCUCGCCGCCGGGUCCAGUGUCAAGGCUGAACAGUUGACCCAGCCGGCGUCUUUGACCCUACGGUCUGGUGAGGGGUUGAACAUCGAUUGUCAGGUGUCUUAUUCUCUGAGUAGCUACUACACUGCGUGGGUCAGGAAACCGGCCGGGAAAGGACUAGAAUGGAUCGGGAGCAGAUACACUGGGGACUAUUCCCGCAAGGACUCACUGAGUAACAAGUUCAGUAUCAAUUUGAACCCCUCUAGCAAAAUCGUCACCCUCCACGGCCAGAAUAUGCAGCCUGAAGACACUGCAGUGUACUACUGUGCCAGAGACACACAAAGACACAAACCAUCAGGGGACUUGAACAAAAACUAAUGACAUGAAAAGGGGAGGAGGAGCCUUCCCACUUCAAACCCACUGAUUAAAAAAAUGAAGGAAAAAAAAAGCAACAUGA